GCAAGGCAUGGUGGCAUGCACCUGUAGUUCUAGCUACUUGGGAGGCUGAGGCAGUAGAAUCACUUAGCCCCAGAGUUCUGGGCUAUACAGCACUAUGUCAAUCGGGUGUCUGCACUAAAUUUCAUGGCAAUAUAGUGACCUCCCAGGGGUGACGGACAAUCAGGUUGCCUAAGGAGGGGUGAACUGGCCCAGGUAGGAAACAGAGAAGGUCGAAACUUCACUGCUGAUCAGUGGUGGGAUUAGGCCUGUGAAUAGCCACUGCACUCCGGCCGGGACAACAUGGCAAGACCCUGUCUCU
ensembl:misc_RNA Metazoa_SRP Metazoan signal recognition particle RNA